UACGAACCGUCCAAACGUUAUUCGGAUUCAUUGGGCUUAAAGGGUACGUAGGCGGCGCUAUCAGUCGGGUGUGAAAGCCCUCGCUCAACCGAGGAACUGCGCCCGAUACUGUAGUGCUUGAGGGAGACAGAGGUAAGCGGAACUGAUGGUGGAGCGGUGAAAUGCGUUGAUAUCAUCAGGAACACCGGUGGCGAAAGCGGCUUACUGGGUCUCUUCUGACGCUGAGGUACGAAAGCUAGGGGAGCGAACGGG
rnacentral:rRNA from 1 species